rnacentral:lncRNA from 1 species
ACCUUCAAAAAUAGCCCCAGAAUACUUGAACUAUUAAUUUUGUUUUAAUUUGCACACGGCGAGAACUCCGACCAUAAUUAAAGUUGACCGGCAAUGACAUGGACUAUACGCGUGGCAUUUUUAUUGUUGGUGGCAAUACGCGUGGCAAUUUAAUUGAUUUGGCAAUACACAUGUCAUUUUUAUUAAAAAAAAUUAAAAAAAAAACAAAAAAUCAUCUCUCUCUCUCAAAUCACAGUCGCAUCCUCUCCUUCCUCAAGCUUUUCCACCACCGCCGGCCAGCUCUUCCACCAAAAUCAGGCGUCGGACCUCAGGGGAUUGUAGGGGAUUUGAGGGUUUUGCAGAAUAUGGCGGUGAAUUGAAAGUGUGCGGUGCGGUGGAGGUGGAGGUAGAGGUGGUGCUCGGUGUCUGGAAAAGGCAGCGGAUCUGGGGCGCCAUUCCUCAUCGACGCCGCCACCUCCCCCCGUCUCACCUACUCCGUCUUCCUCCGCCAAGUCGCCUCUCUGUCCUCCUCCCUCAACGCCGCCUUCAUCCUCCUCCACCGGUAGGAGCUAGCGCCAUGGCUGCAGAUCCCCAAAUCGUGGCCCUCGGCCUCCUAGAUCCCCAAAUCGCAGCCCUCGGCCUUCAUCCUCUCC